rnacentral:rRNA from 1 species
UACGGAGGGUGCAAGCGUUAUCCGGAUUCACUGGGCGUAAAGGGUGCGUAGGUGGUUGCGCAAGUCUGAUGUGAAAUCUCCGGGCUCAACCCGGAAAUGGCAUUGGAAACUGCGUGGCUAGAGGGUUGGAGGGGGGACUGGAAUACUUGGUGUAGCAGUGAAAUGCAUAGAUAUCAAGUGGAACACCAGUGGCGAAGGCGAGUCCCUGGACAACACCUGACACUGAGGCACGAAAGCUAGGGGAGCAAACAGG